UACGUAGGGUGCGAGCGUUACUCGGAAUUACUGGGCGUAAAGUGUGCGCAGGCGGCCGCGCAAGUCGAGUGUGAAAGCCCCGAGCUUAACUUGGGAAUUGCGCUCGAAACUACGUGGCUGGAGUGUGGCAGAGGAAGGUGGAAUUCCAGGUGUAGCGGUGAAAUGCGUAGAGAUCUGGAGGAACACCGAUGGCGAAGGCAGCCUUCUGGGCCAACACUGACGCUCAUGCACGAAAGCGUGGGGAGCAAACAGG
rnacentral:rRNA from 1 species